CCUACGGGAGGCAGCAGUAGGGAAUCUUUCACAAUGGGCGAAAGCCUGAUGGAGCAACGCCGCGCGCAGGAUGAAGGCCUUCGGGUUGUAAACUGCUUUUAUAAGCGAGAAAUAUGAUGGUAACUUAUGAAUAAGGAUCGGCUAACUACGUGCCAGCAGCCGCGGUCAUACGUAGGAUCCGAGCAUUAUCCGGAGUGACUGGGUGUAAAGAGUUGCGUAGGUGGCAUAAUAAGUAGCUAGUGAAAUCUGGUGGCUCAACCAUUCAGACUAUUAGCUAAACUGUUAAGCUCGAGACCGUUAGGGGUAACUGGAAUUUCUAGUGUAGGAGUGAAAUCCGUAGAUAUUAGAAGGAACACCAAUAGCGUAGGCAGGUUGCUGGGACGGUUCUGACACUAAGGCACGAAAGCGUAGGGAGCAAACGGGAUUAGAUACCCGAGUAGUC
rnacentral:rRNA from 1 species